UACAGAGGGUGCAAGCGUUAAUCGGAAUCACUGGGCGUAAAGAGCGCGUAGGUUGAUAAUUAAGUUGGAUGUGAAAGCCCCGGGCUCAACCUGGGAUGGUCAUUCAAGACUGGUUAUCUAGAGUAUGGUAGAGGGAAGUGGAAUUUCCGGUGUAGCGGUGAAAUGCGUAGAUAUCGGAAGGAACACCAGUGGCGAAGGCGGCUUCCUGGACCAAUACUGACACUGAGGCGCGAAAGCGUUGGGAGCAAACAGG
rnacentral:rRNA from 1 species